UGCGGCUGGAUCACCUCCUUA
rnacentral:rRNA from 2 species